rnacentral:ncRNA from 1 species
GAAGCCUCAUCUUGCUCACGCGCCAUCCGGGCGCCAAGAGCAGUGUUUUUCCUGAGGGGAAGGCGCAGGCACUCCGCCUGGAUGAGAAGAUAAG